ACAGACGGACGCGCGCUCGCUUCACUUUCUGUAUUUGUGAAGAGGAAAGUCCGAACUUUACCAUCAGUCAGUUUUCUGAUGAUGGAAAACGGUAGCAGGUAAUCCCUGUCGCGCGUGAGCGCAGAGGUGCGAGCAGAGACGCCUCGGCCGGAAACGGCCAGGUAUCCUUGUACAAGGAUAAGCUUUUACAGUAAUGUAAUAGGUGAAACGGCUAAAUCCUUAUCGGAAAGCAAGGCUGAAGUAUGGCCGCUUGACCGUUAAAAGUGAUUUUAACGGCAGAGAAAUGAUCGCGCUUUCAAAAAGUUUACUUUUUGAAAGACAGAAUUCGGUGUACGUUCCGUCUGUAUUA
rnacentral:RNase_P_RNA from 1 species